UGCCAGCAGCCGCGGUAAUACGGAGGAUCCAAGCGUUAUCCGGAAUCAUUGGGUUUAAAGGGUCCGCAGGCUGUUUUUUAAGUCAGAGGUGAAAUCCUACAGCUCAACUGUAGAACUGCCUUUGAUACUGGAAAACUUGAGUUAUUGUGAAGUAAUUAGAAUGUGUAGUGUAGCGGUGAAAUGCAUAGAUAUUACACAGAAUACCGAUUGCGAAAGCAGAUUACUAACAAUUAACUGACGCUGAGGGACGAAAGCGUGGGUAGCGAACAGGAUUAGAUA
rnacentral:rRNA from 1 species